UUAUCCAUCUUGGCUCUAAGCCCUGUUCUGGCCAAAUCACAAUAAGGCACAAUGAGGAGUAUUUGGAGUGGGUGGGGAGGGAGGAAAGAUGGACCAGCUUUUCCUGUAUUUUGUAUUAUAUAUUUCUUCAACAUAUAACCAAUAAGUAUCUUGUCAGUAUAGUUAGUUGAUAGAUUAGCCUAAAAAAAUUACCUAACCAUCACAAUAUGAAAUGUUCAGAAUAAAAAAGUCCACAGAAACAGGAAGUAGAUUUGUGGCUGUCAGGGGUAGAGGAAAGGAGGGAUGGGGAAUGACUUCUAAUGAGUACAAGGGUUUCUUGAGGGUAAUGGAAAAUCUAAAAUUAGUUGUGAUGGUUAUAUAACUCUGUGAGUAUAGCAAAAACCACCAUGGAAUUGUGUCUUAAAAGGGUGAAUUUUAUGUGUGUUCUGAAGUACAUUGCAAUAAACUAUAAACCACAUAAAUUGUUAUUAUAGAUAAAUCAUUAUGCUGAAAGACACCAGAUAUGAAAGAGUAAUACAGUGUGAUUACACUCAUAUGGAGUACUGAAACCGACAGAACCAGCUGAUAGUAAUGGAAAUCAGGCCUGGAACCUGCAUCCCCUCCAGAGCCCAGCCCAGCUGUAGCCCCCAUUGUGACCGGGGGACUGUCCUCCCCAGGGGCUGGUGCCUACUUAAGCCGGAAAGCUCGACUCUCC